rnacentral:lncRNA from 1 species
GAUUUUGACUUAGUUGUUGUUUGCUUUGUUAUUUUGGCACAGCUGUUCAGAGCAAAACGUGCUGUCACUACACCCAUUGGUAUACUGAUGAAGAGACGAGGAUCAGCUAAGCCACAUCAAACCUUUUCAGUGUGCCACGUCUCUUUGAAAAAGGAUGUACAGAGUUCAAAAUGUGCUGUGAAAAUGUUGCAAACUCUUGCGUAGACUGGCAUUUUGUCUCUACCAAAAAGAAAAAGACGAAACCUCCACUGGCUUCACUGCUCUACUGUAUGCUGUCUGAUGAUGUGGCUACCAGAAUCAAAAGCAACUUUCUGCUUCACAGUUGAGGUAGAAAACUAAGAAGCACUGAAAAGGUUAAAUAUAUGGCUAGGUCUUUGGGUAUACACAUGGUAUAAAGUCACACAGCGG